GACAGAUACAGUUGAGUAUCGUCUGCAUAACAAAGGAAGUUUAUGCGGUGUUUCCUGAUAAGAUCGCCCAAAGGAAGCAUAUAGAGGGUAAAUAAAAUCGGUCCAAGUACAGAACCUUGUGGGACUCCGUGACCAACAUUGGUGGUCUUUGAGGAUUCACCGUUUACAAGCACAAACUGGGAUCGAUCCGAUAAGUAGGAUUUAAACCAGCUGAGUGCAGUUCCUUUGAUACCAAUUAAAUGUUCUAGUCUCUGCAACAGGAUACAAUGGUCUAUGGUAUCAAAUGCGGCACUGAGGUCCAGCAAGACAAGAAAAGAGAUGAGUCCUUGGUCCGAUGCAAGUAGAAGAUCAUUCGUAAUUUUCACCAGUGCAGUGCUCGCUUAGGACCACAGCACUGCUGGUGCCUUACACACCAACGGAGUCUUGCUGGGCUUUUCAUACGCGGAUGGUCGCUGUGUUUUUGGCAUGUUCACAUGCUAACAUCAACACGUAGUAAAACAAUAUUGACAUAACUCAAGGGCUCCAUGGUAAACAGGUAGAUGAAUCAUAUUGUUGAUAUUGUAUCCCACACUGGUCUGAACUGAACCGUACAGUAUUUCCAGGUAGCGAUGAGCUCCCAGAAGCGUUAAGAUGGGACUCUAAAGAUGAGGACAAAGAACACACAGCGUGUUUGAGUACACGUUUUGUAUAACCUUAAAGUUGAGUCGUACAUUUAGGCAUCAAUAAUAAGGGAUUUAAUAUAAUGAAUGUUGAAAUGUGACCUAUAGUUCUUCCCCCUUACUGUGAGAUUUACAGUUGCAUGGCUUUACAAUGAAACCGCUUAUCGGGAAGAGUUGUGAAUAAUUGAAUUGAAUUCAUUUUAUUUUGUAUAGCCCAUAAUCGCAAAUUACAAAUUUGCCUCAGAGGGCUUUACAGUCUGUACACAUAUGACAUCCUCUGUCCCGAAACCCACCAUCGGCACAGGAAAAACUCCCCAAAAAAUGAAUAAAACCCUUCCAAGAGGGAAAAAAGGGAAGAAACUUUAGUGAGAACGUCAGAGGAGGAUCCCACUCCCGGGAUGGACAGACUACAAUGAUGCCAUGUGAACAGAAUGAACAAUGAAUAAUACAUGCAAUUAUAUGACAGAAAUGAUUCAAGUAAUUGUGAGUAGUAAGCCAGGCGCACAGCAGGACCACUGCAGGGGCAACCACCAUCACAUAGAACCAUCAGAUAGAACCACCAUCAGAUAGAACCACCAUCAAAUAGAACAUCAGACAGAACCACCAUCAGACAGAACCACCAUCAGACAGAACCACCAUCAGACAGAACCACCAUCAGACAGAACCACCAUCAGAUAGAACCACCAUCAGAUAGAACCACCAUCUGACAGAACCACCAUCCACAGAAGCCUGUGGGGAGGGAGAGCACAAAGAGGAGAGGGUAAUGUUGGUUUAUGAUUACAGUAAUAUGAUUAAUAUUUAAAAUGAUAAUGAUGAGGAUGGCAGCAGCAGAUGUCAGCAAGGCCACGGCAUGAUGUUCAUUUACUAAAUGAUGGUUCACUUAAAGUCAAACAAACCAUUAAGCAGGGGAUGCUUUAGGCCGGGGCUACCUUGUGACUGACAGAUCUACCUGUCUAACUAAACCAAUGGGUGAUGACGAUGGGUGAUCUCCUGUCAUUGGAGCCACACAGACCUGGCAUGAAGCAAUCUCCAUUUUCAGUACACCAUUGGCAGCUGGCCAAUAGAGGGUAAUGGGGCGGCGCCCCUCCUUGAAAAGAAAAAAGAAAUAAUAUUAAAUUAUUAAAAAAAAAAAUUGAAAUAUGGAAUGUACCCAGUAAUAUUAAAUAAAUGUUUGAUGAUAUGAUAUCUACGCAAAAGAUUUCCCUGCACGUCCCUGCCUAUUGUGUUUUAGCUGAGUGUUUUAGCUGAGCUAGGGGCGGGUCUAAGAAGCAUUUCAGCCAAUUGCUGACUAAAUAAAAAAAAUUAAGACAUAAGAUUUAGCCAAUCAGCAUCCUUACAUAAACUCAGCCUGGGACUUUGGUUUUGCUUUUUGCCGCAGAUAUUUAAAAACACAGGAUCGAAGUGUGCACGUGCAACAUGGCUUUUUUACAUCUU
ensembl:lncRNA